AAGAGCAAGCAAGCAAGCAUCGGACCGGCUGAGGCUGCGCAGCUGGGAAGGGACAGCGGCUACUGCAGCACUAGGGUGUCAGUUGUGGGUCCUGCCCGGAACACUUCAGGUCUGCUCUGCAAGGAUAUAUAAUAACUGAUUGGUGUGUCCAUUUAAUACAAGAAAAUGGAAACUGAACAGCCAGAGGAAACCUUCCCCAACACUGAAACCAACGGUGAAUUUGGUAAAGGCCCUGCAGAAGAUAUGGAAGACGAACAAGCAUUUAAAAGGUCUAGAAACACUGAUGAGAUGGUUGAAUUAUGCAAUCUGCUUCAGAGCAAGAAUGCUGGGGCAGUGAUUGGAAAAGGAGGCAAGAAUAUUAAGGCUCUGUGUACUGACUACAAUGCCAGUGUUUCAGUCCCAGACUGCAGUGGCCCCGAGCGCAUAUUGAGUAUCAGUGCUGAUAUUGAAACAAUUGGAGAAAUUCUGAAGGAAAUCAUCCCUACCUUGGAAGAAGGCCUGCAGUUGCCAUCACCCACUGCAACCAGCCAGCUCCCACUAGAAUCUGAUGCUGUGGAAUGCUUAAAUUACCAGCACUAUAAAGGAAGCGACUUUGACUGCAAGUUGAGAAUGUUGAUUCAUCAGAGUCUGGUGGGAGGAAUUAUUGGGGUCAAAGGUGCUAAAAUCAAAUAACUUUGUGAGAAUACUCAAACAACAAUCAAGCUUUUCCAGGAAUGCUGUCCUCAUUCCACUGACCCAUUCCAAUAAGUCAUUCUUAUUUGAGGAAAACCUGGUAAAGUUGUAGAAUGCAUAAAGAUCAUUCUCGAUCUUAUAUCUGAGUCUCUCAUCAAAGGACGUGCACAGCCUUAUGAUCCCAGUUUUUACGAUGAGACCUAUGAUUAUGGUGGUUUUACAAUGAUGUUUGACAACCACCGUGAACGGCCUGUAGGAUUUCCAAUGCGGGGAAGGGGUGGUUUUGACAGAAUGCCUCCUGGUCGGGGCGGGUGUCCCAUGCCUCCAUCUGGAAGAGAUUAUGAUGAUUUGAGCCCUCGUAGAGGACCACCUCCCCCUCCUCUUGGGUGAGGUGUCCAAGGUGGUAGUAGAACUCCGAAUCUCCCUCUUCCUCCACCACAACUUCUUAGAGGAGGAGAUCUAAUGGCCUAUGAUAGAAGAGGAAGACCAGGAGACCACUACGAUGGCAUGGUUGGUUUCAGUGCUAAUGAAACUUGGGAUUCUGCAAUAGAUACACGGAGCCCAUCAGAAUGGCAGAUGGCUUAUGAACCAAAGGGUGGCUCUGGAUAUGAUUAUUCCUAUGCAGGGGGUUGUGGCUCAUAUGGUGAUCUUGGUGGACCUUUUAUUACUACACAAGUAACUAUUCCCAAAGAUUUGGCUGGAUCUAUUAUUGGCAAAGGUGGUCAGUGGAUUAAACAAAUCCGUCAUGAGUCAGAGCUUCAAUCAAAAUCAAUGAGCCUUUAGGAGGAUCCGAAGAUUGGAUCAUUACCAUUACAGGAACACAGGACCAGAUACAGAAUGUACAGUAUUUGCUGCAGAACAGUGUGAAGCAGUAUGCAGAUGUUGAAGGAUUCUAAUGCAAGAUAUUUUUUCUUUUUUAUAGUGUGAAGCAGUAUUCUGGAAAGUUUUUCUAAGACUAGUGACGAACUGAAAGAGUCCUGCAUCUUUUUUUUUUUUUAUCUGGUUCUGUUUAAAAAGCCAACAUUCCUCUCCUUCAUAGGUGUUUUGCAUUUGAGGUGUAGUGAAAUCUUUGCUGUUCACCAGAUGUAAUGUUUUAGUUCCUUACAAACAGGGUUGGGGGAGGAGGGCAUCCAAAAACUAACAUUGAAAUUUUGAAACAGCAGCAGAGUGAGUGAAUUUUAUUUUUUGUUCAUUGUUGGUGGUUUAAAAAAAGUUUCCCCCAUGUAAUAAUUGUGAACACCUUGCUUUGUGGUCACAUUUGGGGGUGGGACAGGGAGGAAACUAACAAUAGUCCACAUGUCUCUGGCAUCUGUUUAGAGCAGUGUGCAGAAUGUUAUGCUGUUUUGUAAGAAAUGUUUUAUGAUUUUUAAAAUAAAUUUAGUGAACCAAAAAAAAAAAAAAAGAAAGAAAAGAAAAAAGAAAGCAUCAAUUGCCUUGGACACUGUCGUCUACAUGAGACACCUGGAAAUGAGGCAGCCAUCUUGGGACCAUGAAGGGCCAGUCUAUAAGAGAAGCCAACACAACAAGGAGGGUAUUGCAGAAAGACAAAAAGACCCUGGUCCUUGCUGUUACAGUUGAGUCUCUGAAUUAACCAACCCUAGGACUUCUUGUUGUGUCAGAUAAUAAAAUUCCUUUUUGCCUAAAGCCCUUCUAGCUAGGCUUUGUGCUGUCACUUGCACCAAAAGCUACAAUAGGCAAGCAAAGGAUAUGUACAUAAGUGAUUUGCCUAGAGGAAACCCCAGAUGGCCAAUGAGCACAGUAAGAUGCUCGACCUCAUAGGCAGGGAAUGCAGCUUCAAAUGAGAUACCAGUUCACACUCAUCGGAUUGGCAAAAAUAAGUCUAACAAGAGCAAACAUUGGCAAGGAGAUGGUCACACAGGACAUCUUGUACAAAUAAAUGCUGGUGGUGAGAGGAUAAAUUGGUUCGGCUGCUGCAGAGAGCAGUCUGGCAGUACCAGUGAAGUUGAAAGUGUACCUGCCCUACAAUCCCAGCUUUCUACUUCUAAGUAUAUACUCUAAAGUUGGGUUUUGAGAAAAGUGCAAGGGUGUUUAUGCAGCCCUCCUUAAAAUAGUGAAACAUUGAAACAAUCUAAAUGCCCAUCAGUAGAGGAACUGAUAAAUAAAUUAUGGCUUAAUCACAUGAUAAAAUAAUAAACAGAAGUCAAAAUGAGCAAACCAAAUGGACAAAUGAGACUCCACUGCGAAAGUAUGGUGAGUGGGAAAAGGCACAAAAUGGUACAAAUAAUAGUGUGAUAGCUGUUACAUAAAUUUUAAAAAUAUAGAACUCCAUAAAGCAGCACUACUAUGUGCUGCUGUUUUAUGAAUACUUAAGUGUGUAGGGAAAAUGUGAAAUUAUGGACUAUACUUAAAAAGGAAGGA